rfam:Picrophilus torridus DSM 9790, complete genome.
GCGGAGGUUACCGAGUCAGGUUAAAGGUGACAGACUCAAGAUCUGUUCCCGAAGGGGUUCGCCGGUUCAAAUCCGACCCUCCGCA